GAGUCGAGCGUCUCUAGCUAUGUUGAGACGCGGCAUACGGCUCAGUAACACGUGGCUAACCUACCCUCAGGACGGGGACAAACCCGGGAAACUGGGGCUAAUAUCCGAUAGGUGAGGAUGCCUGGAAUGGUUUCUCACUCAAAGGGCUUUAGGAACAUGCUUCUAAAGUCGCCUGGGGAUGGGGCCGCGACCGAUCAGGUUGUUGGUGAGGUAAUGGCUCACCAAGCCUAUAACCGGUACGGGCCGUGAGAGCGGUAGCCCGGAGAUGGGUACUGAGACAAGGACCCAGGCCCUACGGGGCGCAGCAGUCGCGAAAACUCCGCAAUGCACGAAAGUGUGACGGGGCUACCCCGAGUGCCAUCCGCUGAGGUUGGCUUUUCCUUGGUAUAACUAGCCGGGGGAAUAAGGAGAGGGCAAGACUGGUGUCAGCCGCCGCGGUAAUACCAGCUCUCCGAGUGGUAGGGAUGAUUAUUGGGCUUAAAGCGUCCGUAGCCGGCUUAGCAAGUCUCCUGUUAAAUUCAGCGACCUAAUCGUUGAGCCGCGGGAGAUACUACUAUGCUAGGAGGCGGGAGAGGUCGACGGUACUUCUGGGGUAGGGGUGAAAUCCUAUAAUCCCGGGAGGACCACCAGUGGCGAAGGCUGUCGACUAGAACGCGCUCGACGGUGAGGGACGAAAGCU
rnacentral:rRNA from 1 species